rnacentral:rRNA from 1 species
UACGUAGGGGGCAAGCGUUGUCCGGAUUCAUUGGGCGUAAAGAGCGUGUAGGCGGCCAGGUAGGUCGGUUGUGAAAACUGGAGGCUCAACCUUCAGAGGUCGACCGAAACCAUCUGGCUAGAGUCCGGGAGAGGAGAGUGGAAUUCCUGGUGUAGCGGUGAAAUGCGCAGAUAUCAGGAAGAACACCAAUGGCGAAAGCAGCUUUCUGGGACGGUACUGACGCUGAGACGCGAAAGCGUGGGGAGCGAACAGG